AGAUCUUCUCCCAAUUUUCAGUAUGUUGAGUCACUCUUGCCUGAUAUUGAAGAUGAAGAAAGCUACAAGCUUGAGUCGGAAAUUUUGUCUAAUUCCCUCACAUUUGACGCGAAUUAAGGCUUAAUGGAUGAACUUUGCGGGGUAAUGUUUUGUUUAAAGUAUUUGGAAGCAAAUUUAAGGAAUUGAAA